GAUCAGAUACCGUCGUAGUCUCAACUAUAAACUAUACCGGCUAGGGAUUGGUGGACGACUCCAUCAGCACCUUAUGGGAAACCAAAGCAUUUGGGUUCCGGGGGGAGUAUGGUCGCAAGGCUGAAACUUAAAGGAAUUGACGGGAGGGCACCACCAGGAGUGGAGCCUGUGGCUUAAUUUGACUCAACACGGGGAAACUUACCAGGUCAGAACGGCGUAAGGAUUUACAGAUUGAAGCUCUUUAUUGAUUCGUCGGGUGGUGGUGCAUGGCCGUUCUUAGUUGGUGGAGUGAUUUGUCUGGUUAAUUCCGUUAACGAACGAGACCUCAGCCCUUCUUAGAGGGACUAUUCAAUGGAAGUUUGAGGCAAUAACAGGUCUGUGAUGCCCUUAGAUGUUCUGGGCCGCACACGGGCUACACUGGUACAAUCAACAAGCUUCGAAACCGUGAUUGGGAUCGACUAUUGCAAUUGUUAGUCGUGAACGAGGAAUUCCUAGUAAACGCGGUUCACCAAACCGCAUUGAUUACGUCCCUGCCCUUUGAACACACCGCCCGUCGCUCCUACCGAUUGGAUGAUUCGAUGAAAUUUUCGGUCUGAUCAUCUAGAGGAAGGAGAAGUCGUAACAAGGUUUCCGUAGGUGAACCUGCAGAAGGAUCA
rnacentral:rRNA from 1 species